rnacentral:misc_RNA from 1 species
GAUGAAAACGUAGCGAAAUGCGAUAAGUAGUGUGAAUUGCAGAAUUCCGUGAAUCAUCGAAUCUUUGAACGCACAUUGCGCCUUCUGGUAUUCCGGAAGGCAUGCCUGUUCGAGAGUCAUUAACAACCGUUUCGAUCCCUUUCUUUCAGAAAUUACAAAGAGGAAAAGGGUUUGGUUAUGGUGGAGGAGGGAAAGGGAGCGUUUAGCCUGUAAAAAAAGAGGCUGUGUUCCGCCUCCCCCCCAAAAUUGUACAGGCGGUCGUGUGCGCCCACGCAUCGAGGUGUUGUAAAAGCUGCCACGGCACUUUUCACCUGUGCAGUGCGAGAUUGGCCAGCCGGUUUAAAAACCCCUCCAAACAAUCAAAGGUUGACCUCGGAUCAGGGAGGGAUACCCGCUGAACUUAAGCAUAUCAAUAAGCGGAGGA